UACGUAUUGUGCAAGCGUUUUCCGGAAUCAUUGGGCGUAAAGAGCGUGUAGGCGGUCCGGUCAGUCGGUUGUGAAAGUCAAGGGCUCAACCCUUGAAUGCCGGCCGAUACUGCCGGGCUAGAGUCCGGAAGAGGUGAGUGGAAUUCCUGGUGUAGCGGUGAAAUGCGCAGAUAUCAGGAGGAACACCGAUGGCGAAGGCAGCUAAAUGGGACGGUACUGACGCUGAGACGCGAAAGCGUGGGGAGCAAACGGG
rnacentral:rRNA from 1 species